rnacentral:rRNA from 1 species
GAUGAACGCUGGCGGCGUGCCUAAUACAUGCAAGUCGAGCGAACAGACGAGUAGCUUGCUCCUCUGACGUUAGCGGCGGACGGGUGAGUAACACGUGGAUAACCUACCUAUAAGACUGGGAUAACUUCGGGAAACCGGAGCUAAUACCGGAUAAUAUAUUGAACCGCAUGGUUCAAUAGUGAAAGACGGUUUUGCUGUCACUUAUAGAUGGAUCCGCGCCGCAUUAGCUAGUUGGUAAGGUAACGGCUUACCAAGGCAACGAUGCGUAGCCGACCUGAGAGGGUGAACGGGCACACUGGAACUGAGACACGGUCCAGACUCCGACGGGAGGCAGCAGUAGGGAAUCUUCCGCAAUGGGCGAAAGCCUGAAGGAGCAACGGCGCGUGAGUGAUGAAGGUCUGCGGAUCGUAAAACUCUGUUAGGAGGGAAGAACAAAUGUGGAAGUAACUAUGCACGUCUUGACGGUACCUAAUCAGAAAGCCACGGCUAACUACGUG